UACGGAGGGUGCGAGCGUUGUCCGGAAUCACUGGGCUUAAAGCGUGUGUAGGCGGGCCCGUAAGUGGCUUGUGAAAUCCCACGGCUCAACCGUGGAACUGCUGGGCAUACUGCGGGUCUUGGGCCAACUAGGGGCAGCCGGAACAAGCGGUGGAGCGGUGAAAUGCGUAGAUAUCGCUUGGAACGCCGAAGGUGAAAACAGGCUGCUGGGGUUGCGCCGACGCUGAGACACGAAAGCCAGGGGAGCAAACGGG
rnacentral:rRNA from 1 species